rnacentral:rRNA from 1 species
CUGCCUAUUAGAGAGGAAUACCAGUUGGAAAUCACUGCUAAUACCUCAUAUGCCUUAGUUAUCGCAUGAUAAUAGAGGGAAAGGAGCAAUCCACUAAUAGAUGGCCUUGCGCCUGAUUAACUAGUUGGUGAGAUAAAAGCCCACCAAGGUAACGAUCAGUAGCCGAACUGAGAGGUUGAACGGCCACAUUGGGACUGAGAUACGGCCCAGACUCCUACGGGAGGCAGCAGUCGGGAAUAUUGCGCAAUGGAGGAAACUCUGACGCAGUGACGCCGCGUAUAGGAAGAAGGUUUUCGGAUUGUAAACUAUUGUCGAUAGGGAAGAAAAAAGACUGUACCUAUCAAGAAAGCUCCGGCUAACUACGUGCCAGCAGCCGCGGUAAUACGUAGGGAGCAAGCGUUAUCCGGAAUUAUUGGGUGUAAAGGGUGCGUAGACGGGAUGUCAAGUUAGUUGUGAAAUACCUCGGCUCAACUGAGGAACUGCAACUAAAACUAACAUUCUUGAGUGCAGGAGAGGAAAGUGGAAUUCCUAGUGUAGCGGUGAAAUGCGUAGAUAUUAGGAAGAACAUCGGUGGCGAAGGCGACUUUCUGGACUGUAACUGACGUUGAGGCACGAAAGUGUGGGGAGCAAACAGGAUUAGAUACCCUGGUAGUCCACGCUGUAAACGAUGA